rnacentral:lncRNA from 1 species
CACCAUGCUACAGUACUGGUAGUAGUGGUUACUGUAGACCUGUCUGUCUGACGCCAUGCCACAGCACUUGGCUGGCAAAAUUAAGCUUCAUUACAUAUUCACAAUGACAUCACACCUCCCCAGUGUCCUGGUUACACAGCCCUCACGUGAGAGACAAUUAACUAUUCUCGAUUUCACCUUUUAAAGUGUCAACAGUUUUACAUUUCAUGGUAAGUCCAGUGCUUAACUUGGACUGAAAUAGGUGGUGGUACUGUUUAUAUAUUUAGGUGCAGGUACUCCACAAUACCUUUGACCUGAUAAGAGGUUUCCGGAACUCCACAAUACUUUUGACCUGAUAAGAGGUUCCGGAACUCCACAAUACUUUUGACCUGAUAAGAGGUUUCCGGAACUCCACAAUACUUUUGACCUGAUAAGAGGUUCAGGAACUCCACAAUACUUUUGACCUGAUAAGAGGUUCCGGAACUCCACAAUACUUUUGACCUGAUAAGAGGUUUCCGGAACUCCACAAUACUUUUGACCUGAUAAGAGGUUCAGGAACUCAGUAGAACAUUUGAUGUGCUGGCCCGGGAACUCAGUUCCUGUGAGCUCCUGCCCAAGUCAAGCACUGGGUAGUCAGGUAAAUCAAUUAAAUUCAUCAAGGUAAGUCAUACAGUUCAAUCUGCAAUGACAUGAAGAAUGAGGCCACACUGUUCCAAGCCAACAGCUGGGUGUUGCUAGGGGCUCCCUCCCUCCUACAGCAUGUCAUUAUGCCAUGGUGUCUGGUGUAUGGCAGCCUCCCACAACACAAUGUGUUUGUUUCAUGUGACACUAUUACACUAUGACACACAGCAGGUCUAUAGUGGGGGGUGGACGGGCGUGGGAGUGGUGUUUGUGUGUGUGUGUGGGGGGGGAGUGAUAUAUGGUUCCUGUGUGAAGGGGUACCUGUCUCCCAUUAUGUAUCAGUGUGUAUGUCAUUAGAUGUCCAACGGGACGGAGACGGGGGACGGGUUGGGCAACCUAUACCUUAUAGUACACUUUGGUGAAAAGUAGGGCACUAUAUAGGGAAUAGGGUGCCUAUUUUUUCAAACCCCUUGAGAGAAUGGGAGAAAGUGGAUGGUGGUGGCUAUAUUCAUGUGAAAUACGUCCUAGUGACGCUCUAAACAGGACCAAGUCCAGAAAACAAGUCCUUUUAUAAACACCUCAAUAUGAUUUAGUAAUAAGAUGACGUGUUUUUGAUCAUGACGGCACACAGAGCUUCUGAUUUCAGCCAUGGGUUAAUGUGAUCCACGUGUUGUUGUAGUCAGUACUUCUAAACAUUACACUGGAUACAUCUGACUGGUUACAUCUGACUGGUUACAUCUGACUGGUUACAUCUGACUGGUUACAUCUGACUGGUUACAUCUGACUGGUUACAUCUGACUGGUUACAUCUGACUGGUUAUAGCUGACUGGUUACAUCUGACUGGUUACAUCUGACUGGUUAUAGCUGACUGGUUACAUCUGACUGGUUACAUCUGACUGGUUACAUCUGAC